UACGAAGGGGACUAGCGUUGUUCGGAAUUACUGGGCGUAAAGCGCACGUAGGCGGAUUUGUAAGUCAGGGGUGAAAUCCCGGGGCUCAACCUCGGAACUGCCUUUGAUACUGCAAAUCUCGAGUCCGAUAGAGGUGGGUGGAAUUCCUAGUGUAGAGGUGAAAUUCGUAGAUAUUAGGAAGAACACCGGUGGCGAAGGCGGCCCACUGGAUCGGUACUGACGCUGAGGUGCGAAAGCGUGGGGAGCAAACAGA
rnacentral:rRNA from 1 species